AGUUGGUCUCUGUGUCUAAUUGAUCGUUUCCACGAAACAAUAGGUCCAGGUGAAAAUUCGCGACAUCCGUUCGCGCAAAGAAGCGCUCAUUGUUCCGCGAUUCAACUACGCUAACCAGAUCCACGGGAAAAACUGAAACGUUCGCUUCGUUCAAUUCUAAGGCAGGUGAUAAUUCGUUUGAAUAAAGAUCGCGAAGCGGCACGCGAUGCGUGCAAUUCGCUCGACGUGUAUAAUCACACGAACGAUUAUUACGGCAAACCAGAUUCGCUCUGCGCCGAACGCAGAUGUGUCUCUAGCGAUAAAGCAAAAGCGGUACAGAGCUAAUGAAGAUCACAGACGCCGCGUUCGGAAUAAUAAUAAUAAUUCACCGGGAUAGAUAAAUUUAUAGGUGAAUCGUGUUCGCGGUAGGAAAAGUCAAUUGCUCGAGUGUUGGUCGUUUUUGUAGGGUGAGCAGAAUGGCAGAGGGCUUUAUUUCGAAUGGUUCUUCUGUUCCAGGAGAUCGUAGAGAUACUCUAGCUUCGUAAGAAAUCAGGAGUAAUGCGAGGGCAAGACGUGCCCAAAGGGAAUCUACGUGAUGUCAUUUUGAAACGACACGACGAUUGACGAAAGAGAAUAACAAGGAAGAAUCGAGCGAUUCUUAUUGUUUUCAUUUAAUUCAAAACGAUUCAGAAACUCUUCGGUUAUCUCAUCGUUAACGGCAAUAUAAAAAUAUAACGGAGGUAUAGAGAGAAUUUUUGCGAUGAAAAUAAUGAGUUAACCACGGAAACGAGAAGCUCGUUAGUUAUCGGAACAGCUGUGCAAGCUUCCUCGUUAUUCCGUGUUUACCGUACAUAUUUUAUGGCUGCUUUAAGCAUCCCUCCUUCCGAUGCUGGAAUGUUUCUCCAAUGGAAUACAGCUCUUCCCGCAAUGUAUAAUAGUUGAUAAUUUCAUGACGAGAUUGUGAAACGUCGACGUUCCACGGUCGCGAACAUUCGUAACGUAUUUCGCGCUCUCUGUGAAUGCAAGACUUCGCUUAAACGCAUGUCACGUAUUGAUUGUAAAAUGGAAAUACAUACAGAGUGGUUCGUGAGGAUCUUCGAACUGUAAUGUGAGUAAGGUAUCGAUUUGAAAAUUAACCCCUUGCCCUACAAUAACUUACAGUUCAAAUGUGUUAAAUAUGAACUGAAUUUUCAGUUUGAUCCUAAUUAUAAUUUGCUCAGUCUAUAUUUCAUUUUUCUUUAUUUGUUUGAAAAUUGAGCCAAUAAAUAAUUAGCUCUGUUGAUACAACUAAUCGAAAAAAUCAUAGGCAAAGGGGUUAAUUAGUGCUUUUAACGUGUCUUACUGCACAUGGCCACUUUCACUGUCAGUCAAUGCGUUCGUGCUGGUCAGAGGCAGUAGAUACAGACAUGUCUACUAUAACACGAAUUAUUAACGAUUCUAAAGCUUCAAUUAGCUGAUUCAAAUUACCAGAGUGCUUUUAGUAUUAUUAAAAAUUCUCCUUCUUUUUUUAUGUCUGACUGAAUUCAAUUUGUAACGUUGCUUAAUAAUUACUAUCGCGUAACAUUAUUAUUCACUUAACUUUACAAAUGAUUAUCAUUGAUACACAUUUUAGUUCCUAUUAUCUGGUUAUCUAUUAUCUCAGAAUGAUAAAGAUUCAGAAAACGAUUAAAACGAAACGGAACGUGCUACGGCUAUACGAUCUUUAUCGCAUUAAUGAAUUAAUUGGUUGCAGAAGAAGUUUGCUUUGAUAAUUACGCGUUUAAUGAACACCGAGCUUUGCCACGGACUAAACCGAUAGAUUAGACUCGAAUUACAAAAAAUGCCGCAUUACAAGGACUUUUUCAUUCGAAGUUGUUGUGGCUCGUUAAUGUUCUCAUCCGUUCGACCUCCCAGGCCUAACGAUCACCAGAAAUUUCGUGUGCUGGUGCAAAAUACUGCGAGCAAAUGCAUAUCGGGUAUAACCGCAUAAGCAACGAAACGGUACUACGUUUUGAAAAGCUUCCAAUAGCCAUUGAAGUUUUUAUCAGAACAUACAUUUGCAAUUUUCAUUUCAAAGUACUAAAUUUGCACCGGUAAAUUUAUGAGUAACCUUUCAUGUUCUUUCAUGUUUCGACGAUUUAACAAGGAAUACCUCUGACGGUCACCGAGUGACCUCCGACAAUUAAACAAUUAUCGUGUCUUCCCCUCGUUUAUUAUGCCACUCUCCCUUCAUAGACACUGCGACAGGGCCCUCUAUUAUGUAAAAGCAUGCGUAUAGGUAGAGCGCAGAUAAUCAUAACGGGGUAAUUAUCCACUUGACGACUGGUAAUCCCGAUGGUCAGACCGAACCAUUCGACGUUCGUCGCGAUCUUGACAUUCCGACGAUCCACCUUCGUUACAGCCUUCUUUAAAUUAAAAUUAACGCUAUCAAAAAUUUCUCUUCUUCACCAUCUGUCACGGAUAGCGCGUAAUCACGCGACCGACAUUGUCCAGGAAAAUCAACGGCCACCGUUUAGCAUUGAAAUUAUUCUAACGUUGGCGAGAAGCGAGGAAAAUUUCGCAAUGCGACGCGUUACGCAAAUCAUUUUCAAGAGUAUUGUAACGCGUGAGAUAGAGUCACGAUUUGAAAACUGGGAAAACUAUGAUAGAAGUUAUGCAGGUUUUGAGCGACACGUGCACAACACAUUAAUUGUUCUUAAUGCACUCGCCUGUUAUCUCUACUCGUUGUUUGCUUUACACUCUGCUUUUAAUUACUACAACCUUUUCACAUGGUAUUAUAUAAAAACGGCGGACGAAUUUUUAAGUUUUCAAUUUUAGUUUAUUUCGACAUGUUAACGCUUGUCGAGAUUGAAAGCAACAACCGAACAGACGUUAAGGAGGCCAAGAUAACAGCGAUAAAAGAUAAACGACGAUUUGUAAGUCAGUGGCACGUUCAUCAUCUGUGCAAAAAGAAAGAAAUAAGCAGAGAUCAUAUGGAACACCAUGUUCCUAUGUUAGUGAAAACAGAGAAAAUGGUCGAACACUACGAACAAACGCUAUUGAUAACUAUUGCAUAUGAAAUCACUUCAGAUAAUAAGUUCAUUUUUUAAUUUAUAUUGCAUUACGUCGCAAGGUUAAAGUACAACAUCGUUUAAUCUUCUACUUUUAUCAACAGUUUGCACGUGAUGUUACCGAAAAGAAUGUCUUAUUUCAUGAUUGUUCCUGAAUUCCUGCUUCAACAACAAACAUCGUGUAAUAAGAUGAUCACACGUCCGGGUCAUUUUCGUGGCACGUCAGCGAUAAAUCAAUAAAAAACACAUGAAACGUCAUCGAAUUAUUGGUUAGCGAAAAAGUCUAUUGGUGGUUCGUGUCGAAGAUAAAACUUCUGCCAUUUUGGAUUCGUUCUAAUAUCAUUACAAGGUCGUGUAUGCACGUCUAAUGCAGUGGAAAGAUUAAUCGAAUACCACCCACGAUUUUCUUUUCCCGAUGCUGCCAAGAGGAUUUAAAAUCCAGAGGGUAAUAAUGAAGAAAAUCCGAGGGGACAGAAUGAUAAUUUAUCUUAAAUGGAGAAAUUUCAUUUCAAAGCGCAAAAAGAGAGAAAUAAAUUCCAGAAUCGAGGUUUUAUCGAAAUCUUCAGAGGCAUACUUGCUAUUUCGAUUCAUCCUCGAUCGAAAUCGAGGGUUGUUCCUGUGCUUUGAUCGAUGGAUCAAACAACGAUGGUCUUCAUGGUCGCGAAGACGAUUGAACGAGCAAAUUGUACGGUAGGCGUGAAUACACACGUUGAACACUCUUUGGCAAACGAACAGGGCUGAUCCCACUAUCGCGUCACUGUCCCACUCGUCACUCGAUAACACGCACGCACGUUUUACGCACGUCUAAGCACCGCGAUGAUCGCCGAUCGACUGUUUACCAGCUGACUGACAGUGGUCUUUGCCUUUCGAAGGUCGUCCAUCCUGGAAUCGGCUGACAGUCGGGCACGGCAAGCCGUCCAGUCAUCGCGCGAUCCGCUCGCUGGACUCUCCUAUCGUCCACGGUUGCUCGUGAUUCUCUCGGUAAAUACACGCAACCUACACGUUCACGGUGAUAACGAAACUCCACCCAGAUAAUAUUAGGAUGCCCUGUGCUGUCCGGACGACGCGACACACGCCUGAUAACGCUUCAAACGAACUUUCAUUUCACCUUCUGUCCGCUUGAUUUUUCCUCCUCUCCUCGUUUCGGCCACCGGGCUGACGAUAAAACUUGUAGCUUUUUCUUCUUUUUCAUUAUUCUAGUUUACGUAUCAUUGAAACGCCUCCAAAAGAAGAUACGAAUUCUGUGGGAGGAAAUAUUGAAUCGAAUGAAGAUUCAAUUAUUUCUUCCUUUUUUUUAAAUUAUUCCACUUUAUAAAUCUUUGAAGCGUUUCAAAUGUUUGUUCGUUUGUGUGUUUCUUGAAUUGUAUUUGCUUAGAUACGUCGGAAUGACGUACUGUGUCAACACCGGUUUGUGUCUGAUAGUGAAAAUGACGUGUACUCUGUGCCGCAUAAAAUCAUUAUCGUUGCUUUUCAUUUACAUAUAUCAAGAAAUAUUACUGAAUCACUUCUGGUGAUACUUUUAGAUUUCUUUUUGUUAAUUUAGUAAUUGCAGGGAGAUGGUUUAAUGACUUCCAAAAAUACAAAUCACACUCUUUCUUUAAACUGAUUAAUGUAACAAAGGCGACUACAAUUGAUCAUCAACGGUUCGAUGUCGAAGAAUGUUUAGAUUAUCAGCGUUCGGGAGAGAUUUCUACGUCUUAUCGCCUACAAUUAAUAAACGUUUGAAGCAAU